UGUAAGGGCGAUCUGGCUGUGACAUCUGUCACCCCAUUGAUCGCCAGGGUUGAUUCGACUGAUCAGGCUGGCUAGGCAGGUGCCCCCUUCCUCCCUCACCUCUCCAUGUGCAUACCUCCCUAAGCUGGGCAUUUGGUCAAAGAGGACGACCCUCCCAGAAUAGAGGAGGACUGGUCUUUGGUCAAGGGUAUAGGAGUAGCUGUGCUCCCUUGCUGGAACUUCCAAACAAGUUCUCAGUGCUAGUUUAUCUUAGAGCUUUAACUAGAAGUUAAAAACCAAAACCUUUUACUUUAUCCUUCUUUAUGUUUCUCCAGUGUCUGUGUAUUUAU
rfam:Mesocricetus auratus contig122758, whole genome shotgun sequence.